GGAGGAGGGAAGCUGUGAGCUGAAUGCUUCUCAUCACUCUGUGUCCCCUGGGAAGGUCUGAGACUAGGGCCUAUAGAAGCAGCCCUAAUAGGGCCCUUCCUAAGCUCAGAUAGGUGGGUUUCCAGAGAACAGGGCUCCGUGUAAGGGCACACUGGGCAAUAGAUGCUGAGGAAGGCAGUGCAUAUGAUAAUAACCAUGAUCAAGACUGGGCAAAUGACUCAGUGGUAGAGUACUUAUAUUACAUGCUUGAGGUCCUAGGCAAGAUUCCCAGCACCACCUGAUUGUGGGAAAGAGAAAACCAAAAAAGAAUGUCAUAAAAAAAUUGCAGAGAGAUACUCAUCCUUCUCC
ensembl:misc_RNA RNaseP_nuc Nuclear RNase P